rnacentral:rRNA from 1 species
GACGAACGCUGGCGGCGUGCUUAACACAUGCAAGUCGAACGGAAAGGCCUGCUUUCCCUUGUGUAUUGCGGGUACUCGAGUGGCGAGCGGGUGAGUAACACGUGAGUGAUCUUCCCCCGACUUGGAUAUAAGCCUGGGAAACUGGGUCUAAUUCCCGGUAGUACUGCAGGGUGGUGCCUGUGGUGGAAAACGAUGUUCUAGUAGUUGGGGAUGAGCUCGCGGCCUAUCAGCUUGUUGGUGGGGUAAUGGCCUACCACGGCGGCGACGGGUAGCCGGCCUGAGAGGGUGGACAGUCAAAUUGUGACUGAGAUACGGCCCAGACGCGUACGGGAGGCAGGAAUGGGGAAAAAUGCACCAUGGGCCGAAUCCAGCCGCAGCGCGGGAGGGAGGGGGAUGACGGGCUUGGGGUGGUAAUCUCUUUUCGAAGGAGAGCAAGCCAUAUGGUUGGAACGGUGGUGACGGUACUGGAAGAAGAAGCACCGGCUAACUACGUG